UACGUAGGAGGCGAGCGUUGUCCGGAGUUACUGGGCGUAAAGGGUGCGCAGGCGGCCAUUUAAGUGUGCGGUGAAAUCUCCCGGCUUACCUGGGAGGGUGCCGCGCAAACUGGAUGGCUUGAGGCUCGGGGAGGGGCGUGGAAUUCCCGGUGUAGUGGUGGAAUGCGUAGAUAUCGGGAGGAACACCAGUGGCGAAGGCGGGUCUCUGGGCAAUAACUGACGCUGAGGAGCGAAAGCGUGGGGAGCGAACAGG
rnacentral:rRNA from 1 species